AGAGUUUGAUCCUGGCUCAGAGUGAACGCUGGCGGCGUGCCUAAUACAUGCAAGUCGAACGGACAAGUAAGAGCUUGCUCUUAUGAGUUAGUGGCGCACGGGUGAGUAAUGUAUAGUUAAUCUGCCCUACACUGGAGGACAACAGUUAGAAAUGACUGCUAAUACUCCAUACUCCUUCUUAACACAAGUUAAGUCGGGAAAGUUUUUUCGGUGUAGGAUGAGACUAUAUUGUAUCAGCUAGUUGGUGAGGUAAUGGCUCACCAAGGCUAUGACGCAUAACUGGUCUGAGAGGAUGAUCAGUCACACUGGAACUGAGACACGGUCCAGACUCCUACGGGAGGCAGCAGUAGGGAAUAUUGCUCAAUGGGGGAAACCCUGAAGCAGCAACGCCGCGUGGAGGAUGACACUUUUCGGAGCGUAAACUCCUUUUGUUAGGGAAGAACAAUGACGGUACCUAACGAAUAAGCACCGGCUAACUCCGUGCCAGCAGCCGCGGUAAUACGGAGGGUGCAAGCGUUACUCGGAAUCACUGGGCGUAAAGGACGCGUAGGCGGAUUAUCAAGUCUUUUGUGAAAUCUAAUGGCUCAACCAUUAAACUGCUUGAGAAACUGAUAAUCUAGAGUGAGGGAGAGGCAGAUGGAAUUGGUGGUGUAGGGGUAAAAUCCGUAGAGAUCACCAGGAAUACCCAUUGCGAAGGCGAUCUGCUGGAACUUAACUGACGCUAAUGCGUGAAAGCGUGGGGAGCAAACAGGAUUAGAUACCCUGGUAGUCCACGCCCUAAACGAUGUAUACUAGUUGUUGCUGUGCUAGUCAUGGCAGUAAUGCACCUAACGGAUUAAGUAUACCGCCUGGGGAGUACGGUCGCAAGAUUAAAACUCAAAGGAAUAGACGGGGACCCGCACAAGCGGUGGAGCAUGUGGUUUAAUUCGAAGAUACGCGAAGAACCUUACCUGGGCUUGAUAUCCUAAGAACCUUGUAGAGAUACGAGGGUGCUAGCUUGCUAGAACUUAGUGACAGGUGCUGCACGGCUGUCGUCAGCUCGUGUCGUGAGAUGUUCGGUUAAGUCCGGCAACGAGCGCAACCCACGUAUUUAGUUGCUAACAGUUCGGCUGAGCACUCUAAAUAUACUGCCUUCGUAAGGAGGAGGAAGGUGUGGACGACGUCAAGUCAUCAUGGCCCUUAUGCCCAGGGCGACACACGUGCUACAAUGGCAUAUACAAUGAGACGCAAUAUCGCGAGAUGGAGCAAAUCUAUAAAAUAUGUCCCAGUUCGGAUUGUUCUCUGCAACUCGAGAACAUGAAGCCGGAAUCGCUAGUAAUCGUAGAUCAGCCAUGCUACGGUGAAUACGUUCCCGGGUCUUGUACUCACCGCCCGUCACACCAUGGGAGUUGAUUUCACUCGAAGCCGGAAUACUAAACUAGUUACCGUCCACAGUGGAAUCAGCGACUGGGGUGAAGUCGUAACAAGGUAACCGUAGGAGAACCUGCGGUUG
rnacentral:rRNA from 1 species